CGGCGGAUGGGUGAGUAACACGUGGGGAACCUGCCCCUAAGUCUGGGAUACCAUUUGGAAACAGGUGCUAAUACCGGAUAAUAAAGCGGAUCGCAUGAUCAGCUUUUGAAAGGCGGCGUAAGCUGUCGCUAAGGGAUGGCCCCGCGGUGCAUUAGCUAGUUGGUAAGGUAACGGCUUACCAAGGCGACGAUGCAUAGCCGAGUUGAGAGACUGAUCGGCCACAUUGGGACUGAGACACGGCCCAAACUCCUACGGGAGGCAGCAGUAGGGAAUCUUCCACAAUGGACGCAAGUCUGAUGGAGCAACGCCGCGUGAGUGAAGAAGGUUUUCGGAUCGUAAAGCUCUGUUGUUGGUGAAGAAGGAUAGAGGUAGUAACUGGCCUUUAUUUGACGGUAAUCAACCAGAAAGUCACGGCUAACUACGUGCCAGCAGCCGCGGUAAUACGUAGGUGGCAAGCGUUGUCCGGAUUUAUUGGGCGUAAAGCGAGCGCAGGCGGAAAAAUAAGUCUAAUGUGAUAGCCCUCGGCUUAACCGAGGAACUGCAUCGGAAACUGUUUUUCUUGAGUGCAGAAGAGGAGAGUGGAACUCCAUGUGUAGCGGUGGAAUGCGUAGAUAUAUGGAAGAACACCAGUGGCGAAGGCGGCUCUCUGGUCUGCAACUGACGCCUGAGGCUCGAAAGCAUGGGU
rnacentral:rRNA from 1 species